rnacentral:rRNA from 1 species
GUCUAUGGCCAUACCACCCUGAACAUUCCCAGUCUCAUCUGAUCUUGGAAGCUAAGCAGGGCCAGGCCUGGUUAGUACUGGGAAAAAACACUUAACAAAAUGGCAGUAGUAAGUC